rnacentral:rRNA from 1 species
AUGUUGUCCGGGCCUCCGAGGUGCAGCAGGAGGAAUGACGCCCAGAACGCGACAAUCGGGUGUGCGCCUGCAGCGCCUGCGAGGGAGAGGUGGCCGAGGGCGUAUGUGGCGGUGCAGUCAGCCAGCUGAUACGCCAGCCAGAGCAGGAACCGCAGCACCGGGUGGCCUCCACGCCUGCGGAUCCCGGCAAAGAGGAAGAGGGCGAUCUGGAGCCCGAGGAUGAAGAUCACCAGGAUCUGGAUGGCCCAAUGGUUCCAGAUGUCCCGUGGCCAAGCAGUAGCAGCCAUUGCUCCUGUCCGCACGGUGCGGCCGGAUGACUGGAAGUACCUGCAGUUUCACGAAAUAUGUACGCAAAUCACUAUAAGCUACACCCGUGCUCUUAACUAA